UACGUAGGGUGCGAGCGUUAAUCGGAAUUACUUGGCGUAAAGCGUGCGCAGGCGGUUUUGUAAGCCAGAUGUGAAAUCCCCGGGCUUAACCUGGGAAUGGCAUUUGGGACUGCAAGGCUGGAGUGCGGCAGAGGAGACUGGAAUUCCUGGUGUAGCAGUGAAAUGCGUAGAUAUCAGGAGGAAUACCGAUGGCGAAGGCAGGUCUCUGGGCUGACACUGACGCUCAUGCACGAAAGCGUGGGGAGCAAACAGG
rnacentral:rRNA from 1 species